AUUGAACGCUGGCGGCAGGCCUAACACAUGCAAGUCGAACGAGUGGCGGACGGGUGAGUAAUGUCUGGGAAACUGCCUGAUGGGGGGGGAUAACUACUGGAAACGGUCGCUAAUACCGCAUACCAUCGGAUGUGCCCAGAUGGGAUUAUCUAGUGGGUGGGGUAAAGGCUCACCUAGGCCACGAUCCCUAGCUGGUCUGAGAGGAUGACCAGCCAAACUGGACCUGAGACACGGUCCAGACUCCUACGGGAGGCAGCAGUGGGGAAUAUUGCACAAUGGGCGCAAGCCUGAUGCAGCCAUGCCGCGUGUGUGAAGAAGGCCUUCGGGUUGUAAAGCACUUUCAGCGGGGAGGCGUUACCCGCAGAAGAAGCACCGGCUAACUCCGUGCCAGCAGCCGCGGUAAUUC
rnacentral:rRNA from 1 species